GGUUUGUGGCUCAGUGGUAGAGUAUUCGCCUGGCACAUGCGAGGCCCUCGGUUCGAUCCUCAGCACCA
rnacentral:tRNA from 1 species